rnacentral:lncRNA from 1 species
CCAGGGCUGGCACCACACCGGUUCGGCCAUGGACCCGGAGUGUCCCAGCAGCGUUCCCCUCUGGGUGCCCGUUUCCCGCAGCCCAGCCUGGCAGGAAGCUGGCGGCAGAUAAAUGCAUUAAAAAUAUGCUCGGAGCGUGCAGCAGCCGGGGAGCGAACAGCGGCGAGCACUGGCGCUGCCAUCAGCCCCCGGUGCCACCAGGGCCGGCAGGAGAGGGACAGGAGGGGACAGGGCAGGACAGGCACAGGAAGGGACAAGGGGGGCUCUACGGGCCCCUCCAUCCCAUGUGCAGCAGUCCCGACCCUGUGAGCAUCCUGCCCUGCCUGCCCCAGGGUCUCCUCUGAGGACAUCCAUGGGGACAUCUUGGUGCCACAAGCUCAGUGCUGACCGUUUUUAUCCUAUUUCUAUCCUAUUUGUGCCUUUCGACCCUGUGAAUGGAAGGGCCCAGUGGGGUGCUGGGGAAGGGCAGCCUGGCUCAGAGGGUGCAGAUGUGGGGCAGAUGUCAGGGAUGUGACAUCCAUGGAUGUGGCUGUCCCCACGGGCACGUGUCACUGCGGGCACACCGUGUCCUUCCACGGCGCUGGUGGGAGGAGUGGGUGCCUAAACUGAGUCUUUGCAUGACUAAAACUCGUUAAAGGUCCCCGUGAUGAGUCUCAGGAAAUUCAGAUCUGGGAGAGGCUGGUUUGGCACUGACUGCACAGCACCAGGGGCAGGUGACACAUGGCACCAGGGGACAGGUGAAGGACAGACCCACCAUGAGAGUCUUCAGUCAGAGGGCCAAAGCUUUCCUCUUGCAGUCUCUCCAAAUUGGGGUGUUUAUCCUAACAAGGUGGGUUUUGGUGACCAGGAACUCCUACGGAGCCACUUUUCCCUUCAACGAUCUUUGAAGAGAGGAGAGGGGGAAAGCCACUUUACAAAGUUUGGAUGCACAAUCCCAGGGAAAUGGGGCUGGAAGAUGUCCAUGGCUGUUCCUCCCCAGUCCUGCUGCCCUGCUCCCACAUUUGGAGCUCAAACACAAUGAAUGUCUCCUGCUGAAUGCAGCCAGAAAAAGGGGAGAAGAUUCCUCACUGCCUGCCCGAGGCCUCAGUUCCAGUGGUAUGUGUGGCAGAGCUUUGUAUGGCCUCGAUUCUGUCCUCAUCAGAAAAUGACAGUCUGAGCAUCAUCAUUUUCUGUGGCACUGGAAAAGUGCUGAAAAAAAUUCAAUUUCGAGCCCCAGAUAUUUGCAGCCUCUAAGGCAGUGUCCUAUAAAUCUAGUUACAGGUUCUUCUCUAUUAGCAGUAAGUGCUGGAGCACUUUUAAAUAUGAACAAUGGUGAUGGAGAAGGAUAAAACCAAAAUAGUGCUCCCGUGGCUUUGUGCAGGGUAGAAUUAGGGAGCAUAAUCCAAAUAAUAACAUCUCAUGCUUUUAUGGGUGCAUAUGGCGUAAAUGACAGCUCAUUAAACUUUAUAUCCUGCCUACAAGAUAAGCAUGUAAUUAGUAUUACAUCCUUUUUUAUAAUUAGGAGGCCUCAUCCAAAAAAAUGUGGCUCACAAGCCAUAUUUGAAGGCGGUGACUCAGCCUGAAUUAGGCUGUGUUGUGAGGAUGGAGGGAAUCGUGCUUUAGAGGGCUGAAAAACAGGGACAAAAGGUUGAGCCGGUGUCAGGCUCCUGUGCCUGCAUCCACCCGCUGCAAAACACAGGCGGAUGAAGUUUUUAACAUCAGGAGUGGCCGGAGCCGGUGCUGCCAGCCCAGCUUAGGGCCGGACCGAGCUCC